CCUACGGGUGGCAGCAGUGAGGAAUAUUGGUCAAUGGGCGGAAGCCUGAACCAGCCAAGUCGCGUGCGGGAUGACGGCCCUACGGGUUGUAAACCGCUUUUAUACGGGAAUAACGCGCCUUACGUGUGGGGCUUUGAAUGUACCCUAUGAAUAAGGACCGGCUAAUUCCGUGCCAGCCGCCGCGGUAAUACGGAAGGUCCGGGCGUUAUCCGGCUUUAUUGGGUUUAAAGGGAGCGUAGGCCGCAUGUCAAGCCUGCUGUGAAAUGUCCGGGCUCAACCCGGGCCUUGCAGCGCGAACUGGCGUGCUUGAGUCCGCGGAAAGCAGGCGGAAUGCGUGAGGUAGCGGUGAAAUGCUUAGAUAUGACGAAGAACUCCGAUUGCGAAGGCAGCUUGCUGCAGCGGAACUGACGCUGAUGCUCGAAAGCGCGGGUAUCGAACAGGAUUAGAUACCCUUGUAGUC
rnacentral:rRNA from 1 species